rnacentral:tRNA from 1 species
GUCCCUGUAGCGCAAUGGAUAGCGCGUUGGACUUCUAAUCCAAAGGUCGUGGUUUUAAAUCCCACGUGGGAUG